GAGUUUGAUCCUGGCUCAGAUUGAACGCUGGCGGCAUGCCUUACACAUGCAAGUCGAACGGCAGCACGGGAGCUUGCUCCUGGUGGCGAGUGGCGAACGGGUGAGUAAUGCAUCGGAACGUAUCCUGGAGUGGGGGAUAACGUAGCGAAAGUUACGCUAAUACCGCAUAUUCUGUGAGCAGGAAAGCGGGGGACCUUCGGGCCUCGCGCUCUUGGAGCGGCCGAUGUCGGAUUAGCUAGUUGGUGAGGUAAAGGCUCACCAAGGCGACGAUCCGUAGCAGGUCUGAGAGGAUGAUCUGCCACACUGGAACUGAGACACGGUCCAGACUCCUACGGGAGGCAGCAGUGGGGAAUAUUGGACAAUGGGCGAAAGCCUGAUCCAGCCAUGCCGCGUGUGUGAAGAAGGUCUUCGGAUUGUAAAGCACUUUAAGUUGGGAGGAAGGGCAGUAAGUUAAUACCUUGCUGUUUUGACGUUACCGACAGAAUAAGCACCGGCUAACUCUGUGCCG
rnacentral:rRNA from 1 species